CAAAUCCAUAGUUCCAUUCCAGAGGAAAACCCUAAAAAAAUUGCCAUUCGUAUAAAAAAUUCAAAGGCAAACAGAUUACAAUCGCUUUCCUCCAUCGACUCUCAUCGUUAUCGACAAUGGCGGUUCCUAUUUUCGUAUUGGUUGGGCAGGAGAGACUGAGCCAGAGGUUAUUUUCCGUGACAUUGUUCAAAGACCUCGCCAUAAAUCCACUGGCGCCGGCGGACAUAGCGGAGGGGGCGCCUUUUGUGUCUGCCGCAUCGAUGUAAACAAAGCCUCGAGAUCGGGUGGAUGAAAGAACUCAUUGUUCGGAGACUUUCUCUUUAUAUGAACCGCUUGUUUUUUCUUCGGUGCCGCUGGACACGGGGGAGGAGCCGUAGCUUGUGAGUGCCGCCUCGGCGUCAUAAAACCUUCUUCUUGUUCAUAAAUCUCCAUUAAAAGAAAAAGAGAUUUUGAAAUAAUAGGAUUUUGCAUGUGAAGGUUUUUUAUAAGAGAGAUCUUGUGGGCGUGUUAGCUUGCUAUGGAAGAAUGAAGAUUUUAUUUUAAUUUCUUUUUCAUUUAUCUAAACGUACUGUGGAAGGAACCAUGAAACUCAGAAGCUAGUUUUGGUAAAAA